UACGUAGGGGGCAAGCGUUGUCCGGAUUUAUUGGGCGUAAAGAGCGUGUAGGCGGCCUGAAAGGUCAGCUGUGAAAACUCGAGGCUCAACCUCGAGACGUCGGUGGAAACCAUCUGGCUAGAGUCCGGAAGAGGAGAGUGGAAUUCCUGGUGUAGCGGUGAAAUGCGCAGAUAUCAGGAAGAACACCCGUGGCGAAGGCGGCUCUCUGGGACGGUACUGACGCUGAGACGCGAAAGCGUGGGGAGCGAACAGG
rnacentral:rRNA from 1 species